ACGGCCGUUGGUUAGUGGUAAACCGCUGGUCUCCAAAACCAGUAACGCAGGUUCGAUUCCUGCCGGCCGUGCCA
rnacentral:tRNA from 1 species